CUAUGUGGACUUUGCUGCUGAGUCAGUGUGAGACCUUGAACAAGUCUCUGUUUGUUUCGUACCAUUCAGAUUUCCUCGUCUGUAAACAUUAAGUAUCUACAUUCACUAAAAGUAGUUCUGAAUGAAUGUUAUUUAAUGGUGCCAAUGAUGUUGGAGGAUACCUGUGCAUCUCAUGCUGUGGUUACAGCAUCAAUUGUGAUGAAUAUAGGAUACUGAGUCCCUCCUAGAAAUGACUUCAGGAACUUCACCCCCCAACUCCACAAUCUGGGAAUGGCAGACAGAUUCAGCACCAGGAGAACAUCACAUAAAGGACAAGUGUGUAUGUUUAAAAAUGGCAAGUUUCGGCCUGGCAUGGUGGCUCACGUCUAUAAUCCCAGCACUUUGGGAGGCUGAGUCUAAGUGUACAGUGCUUGUAAAGUCUGCAGUAGCAUACAGUAAUGUCCAAGGCUUUCACAUCCACUCACCACUCGCUCACUGACCCAGCCAGAGCAACUUCCAGUCCUGAAAGCUGCAUUCAUGGUGAGUGUCCUACACAGGUGCAUCAUUUUUAUCUUUUAUACCAUAUUUUUACUGUAUCUUUUCUAUGUUUAGAUAUGUAAAUACCAUUGUGUUACAAUUGCCUACAGUAUUCAGGACAAUAACAGGCUGUACAUGUUUGUUGCCUAGCAGCAGUAGGUGUGUAGUAGGCUCUUCUGUCUAGUUUUGUGAAAGUUCACACUAUGAUGUUUGCAUAACAACAAAAUCACCUAUGGAUGCGUUUCUCAGAAUGUAUCCCCAUUGUUAAACGAUGCAUGGCUCUGUGUGUGUAUGUGCAGGACUCUGUGUGUGUGGUAUAUGCAUACCACAUACGCACACAUCCACACUAUACUAUGCACUCUACAUAUAUACAACUACAUAGGCAAAUAUAAAGCUGCAUGUGCAUAAAUACACAAACAAACACACAUACAUAUGUAUAAAAGGUAAUGUAUUGAUAUUAAUACUGACAAUGUGUACUAAGCAUAUAUUUAUAUACCCUUAAAUGUAUAUUAUUUUAAUACAUACUAUAUUAUGUUAUAUACUAAUACACUUUUUUAAAACUGAAAGAAAUCUCGUUGCCAAUUUGUGUUUCUAAAUAUGAUGUCCAUAUUUUUUCUGAUUUUAUUACUAUAGCUGUGAUCACGUCAUGUAACUUAAUUUUGAUGAUGUUUCUCACAGUAUAGUUUGAGGGUAUCCAGCCUCAGAUUAUCUGAGGAUGUAGCUCAAGAUUUCCUAAUUUUGCAAACAGCAAGCUUCCCAGGAGAUUCUUAGAUUCCUGCUAACAAAAGGCGGAGACUCACUGGACAGUUACUGAAGAUAGACAGUAGGGGGCGGAAGGGCCCACGCUUCUUUGAUAUUGGUGGCUUUGGUUUUUCAGUGACGGGGGACACUUUGACUUCAGGUAUGUUCUGCAUUUAGAAUUUUCAAAUGAACGUUUCUUGUCUGUUCCCUUCUUUUUUCUGCCUCCAAACAUAAUGUCUAUCAUUGUAAAAGUAAUAAAAAAUCACUGAACAAAAUUUGGAAAAUACCAAAUGAAUAACAAUAGAAAUAAAGUAAAAAAAGAACCACUCAAAUUCCCAUCAUCAAGAAAUAAACAUUCUGAUAAUAUUUAAUUUUAUUUUCCUAUAUAUAUUGUGUGUGUGUAUAUAUGUAUGUGUAUAUAUAUACAUAUAUUCAAAAUGUAUUAUAACACAAAAUGUAUAAAAUAUAUAAUAGUAUAAACAAAAUUAUAUUAUAUAUGUCAUUUUCAUGUCAUAUGUCAGAUAUAGCAUAUUAAUACAUACCCAGUUUUCUAAAAUGCUGAUCUCUUUGAAAUAUUCAAUUAUCAAUUGUGUUUCUUUCCUCACUGAAGUUCCUUUUUACGACUUUUGGUAGUGAAGAGAUAAAGUUCAUUACAAAACAUGCCAGGCUUAAGCAAUUUUCCAAAGGGAUUAACGAAUUGCAGUGGCCGCAGGCUAUGUAAAAAUUUUUAAAAGGUGGUGUCUCUCAUAUUCUUCAGCAUAACUUGGGUCACAGAAACCCAGGCAUAAAAAUUCAUUGUGAACUCAUAUUCUACCAUGGCCUGACACUGGUAAGUUAUUUUGUUGCAAAAGCCUUAAGCAAUUUGAGAUGUCGAAGCACGUUUUCAAGAGUUAGCACAUCUCCAUUGUCUAUAAACUGCAUGCAUAUUUUAUGCCUAAAAAAUAUUUCAUCUUCUGAUUUUCUAGCUUUCUUCUGCAGGUUGUUUUUUUUUUUUUAGAAUAUUUUUCAAUCAUUUUAAUUCUCUAUUGUAAAACUUGGAAAUCUCUACUUAUGGACUGCCAAGAACAGUCUGAAAUUAAAUCAAUUUACUCUCACUCUUAGUGAAUAUUUUGGGAGUGCUAGGUAUUGAAUGUGUCCCCCAAAAGUUCAUGUGUUAGAAAUGUAAUCCUUCUGCCCCUAUGAUGAGAUGAAUGGAUGAAUGAGGGCUCUGUUCUCAUGACGGGAUGAAUGUUGCUGUCCCAGGAGUGGGUUUAUUAUCACAGCAGCGUUAUUCUUGUGCCUGUGAGCUCUCCCUGGCUCCCUUGCUCCCACUCUGAGCAUGUGAUGCCCUCUGCCAUGAGGUGAGGCAGCAAGAAGGCCCUCACAGAUGCCGGCACUGUGGACUUCCAGCCUCUAGAACUAUGAGCUAAAUAAACUUUUUAAUAUAAAUUACCUAGUUUGUCAUCUUUUGUUACCAAUAAGAAAAGGCAAUAAGACCGGGAGGUUCUAUUAUGAUGUCAUUCAUGGGAAAAUGGUAGACAGGACAGAAUCUUUGCUGGCUCCCUAGAUACUGCCUUGGAAUGUUACUCUUGGAAAACAGUGGCUACAGAGUGAUGCCUUUCUCCAUAACUUUAAUUUACCUUAAGAAAAGCUUUGAGUGCUACUGAGUCGGGAAUGAAAAACCUAGAGAAUGUUCUGUCCUGUGGGAGCAAGGAGUAUAGUUAGUCCCUGUAUUACUACCCAAAGGGGCAUGAGGCUUCACCCUCCUUGGGCUCCCUAGGGACUUAUAAUGCCUUCCUGUAAUUAUCGGGCCAGUUAAUUUAAUACUAAUCCACUUAAUUCAGUUAACAUCAGAUUUGUCCUAGGGAUCUUGUUACAUCCUUUUGUAUACUAAAAGAGAAAAAGAAAAAAAAAAAGAUUUGCUUCUCUUUCAAUAUUCCUGGGAAGUUGGAUAUCCACAUGGAAAAGGCAGAUCUCUAGUUCACAACAGAUAAAAAAUAAAUUUUACUCAAUGUGAAAUUAAAUGUAAAAAAUAAAACUUCAACAUUGUAGAAGAAAAUAUAGAAAAAGCUCUUUAGGUCUGUGAAGGAGAAAAGAAUUAUCGAAAUCAGGCCAUAAAGAAAAAGUACAAGUCAUAAAGGCAAUAAAUAUACAAAUAGAGUUUAACCUCUGAAACACUUGACCGAAUGUUCUGAGGUAAAAACAACAAACCAGCCAUUGAAGGGAAGAACAGAUUGACAGUGCAUAUAACACAGAAAGAAGUAGUAAUCAAACUAUUUAAAAUUGCCUAAUAAAUCAAAAAGAAAAGACCAAAAAAGGAAAAAAAAAAACAUUGAAGGAUAAGAAUAAGCAAUUGACAGAAGAAGAAUUUGUAAUGGUCAAUAAAGAGAUGUAGUAAUUUUUAAAUUAUAAUAAACAAUGGAAAUAAACAGAAUGCCCAUUAGCAGGAUAGGUGAAUAUACAUAUUUUUGUACGGUCAUAAACUGGAGCGUAUUAUUCCCUAGAUUUUUGUAUUUCUGAAAUUGUUUAUUAAAAUAGUCUUAGUCUCUCUAACAAUUUAAACAAAGCCACUAAAAGGACCUGGUGCUAUAUUGUAAAUUAAAAUUUACAUGCCAAUGGAAAGAAUUGAAUUAAGCAUAGUUCAGUUUGCAUUUUUUUGAAGCAAUGUAUUUUUAAAGACAAAAUAACUGAACUAAGAUAACAAUUUAUAUAAAAGAAAAUGGCUGUUUCUGCUAAAUAGCCUGUUGCAUUUGAAAUCUUUGCUAUCUCUGUGGAGACCAGGAGCAAUCUAAAUGGAAAUAAAGUAACUUUAUAAUUGUAAAUGUGUAUUUGAGUGAAAGCUAACUUUAGGGAAUAGUAGAGAGUAAACUGGGUAUUCACAGGUAAAGAGAGAUAAUUUCUAGAACAAAAAAUGUCAGCCAGAAGAAAUGGGCCAAAUAUUAGUGUCCUCGUUUGGAUUUUAAUGAAGUUGUCAAAUUUAUGGGCUAUGAUAACUUAUAAUGGGCAAAAGAAUGUUAAGUAGUCUAGAUGGGAGAGGGCAGAAAUUACAACAACAAAAAAAUUCAGACACCAAAUGAUGACACAAUCUUCCAAAUUAUAAAUCUGAUCUCAUUUUUAUUCAGUGACAUUUGAUAUCUCUCAACUUUCCACACUUUAAUAUAUUCAGUAGUAAAUUUGAUAGGAUUGAAAAAAAUGACACUAUAAUUCCAAAGUCUUUUGCAUAGAUCAUUUCUGAGAAUCUGUGCCUAACCUAACCUCAUUUCCAGAAACUUCUCAAGCUGCCCCAUGUCUCAGGUGAGUAGAAUGGAAAAAAAGACGCGAUUAACUGCUCUAAUAUUUUAUUUAAAUUUAAUAUAAGCAUUUGCCAUUAGUUUACAAGUAAAUGCUUUAAUACGUCAAGAUUCGUAGAGAAGAUUCUGAAUCUUGAAUUUUGUCGAUGACUCAGUGUUAUGGAAAAUCUAGAACAGCAGGGUCCCACCUCAUGGUGACAAGAGAUGGAAUGUCCUAAUCGUUUAAUUAUUGGUUGUAAAACCUAUCCCUUGCAAAAACAGGGAGGCUUUUACGACGGCAUUGUGUCUGCCUGCUAGCGCCCCAGGCAGCUUCGCAGAGCUUCCCAGUGCUGAUGAGAUGGUGGAGACUGCUUUUGUGAUGAUUUUCCAGAGUUUGUUUAUUCAUUUGUUCAAAUAACAUUGACUAUGUGGAAAUGAUUAUUUGGUGCCAUUAAGAGAUUGAUUGUGUCUCAUUCUUAAAAGUUAUAGACUUUAUAAACAAAUGUUAUCAUUAUAUUAAAUACUAAUUUAAAAUACAAUAACAAUUACAUUAUAAUAAAUACUAUAAAAAAAUAGAAAAAUUAUACAUCUUGUCAGUCCAAUCAACUGUAAAAUAAUAUUACAUGAGAUACUGCCAUAAUACUUUUCAAGUUUCAAAAUUGAAAUCGAUUAAACCUGUUUGAAAACCUAUAUACAUGCGUUAAGCAAGAUGCUACAGCUUAUUUCUCUACUAGCUGGCUGUGACUUUCCCUUUCGUUUUCCCUAUUUACUCUAUUAGUGAGGAGCCCCUUAUCUCGUAUUUUAGGUCCACAUUUGUACAUAGUUCACAACAGGAAUUAGUAAAUAAAAGCUGCUGACAGCAGUACUUUAAUUUCCCCCUGAAGCUCAUUCAUCUGGGAGGUAGCCAGCCUCUGUUACACCACAAAGACCUGGCUUCAAGCUUCCCGCCUUAUUUUAUGAGAACAUCAGCCUCUCAAGUCCAGCUGAUUAUUUUGUUUCUUAAGCUACAUCAGUAUAGAAACAGAAGGAAAAGUGGAGGAAGUUAGGAGAAUAGACCCUGAGUGUAGCAAGUAGUAAAGGUUGACAAUCUGCUGGAGGAAAGUCAGCAUGCAAAAGUCCAGAGAUAGCUAAAACACACAGUACGAGGGGGAGUGGACAUGAAGGGCAACCCAGACAGUCCGGAUGCUUAGCUGAGUGAGCAUCAGUCACCCCAAAGCCUGACUCAUCUCAAACACCUUGAUUUUCUCUACUGUAUACCCCACACCUCACCAUGAAUGGAGAGUUGCUGUGGUUGAUUUCACUCCUGAGUUACCAUUUCUACAGAUUUCACCAACAAGAACAUGAGUGAUUGUUUCAGUAUUGACCUAAACUUUGACUCUUGGGGUUGAGACAGUUUUCUCAAUGAACUGAGUUUGAACCCUGGUGGCAAGGUGGGUGCCAGGUGGUGUUGAUGGUAGGACAACCCAGAGCUGUGAUGACUCCCCAAGAGCACGGCCUAUGAAACCUCAUGGACUUGGCAUGUUGUUGAUGGAACAUCCAAAGCAUUGCAUGAGAUUCUCAACCAUAAGGGAUGGUCAAAAUUAGUGUCACAUAAGAAGGUACAAUCAAUUUUCACAGUCACUUCACUUUUAAGGAGGUAGAGUCAGAUGUCCUGGAAAAUAAGAGAAAACUAAGAGAAAAUGAAAAUGAAAGCCAAAAUGGAUCUCUUUGUGAAAUAUGUUCAGAGCAUUAGAGAGUAGAGUAAAAUGGUAAUUCACAGAACUCCUCACCCAUGAAAUGAAUAUCUUGUGAGCAGGUUAGUCUUUUUCCAUCUAUUGAGUCAGAAUCUGGGUGAGUCACACACUUCAGGUGACAGAUGCCAAAACACCCUCAAAAUUAACCAAAGGGUGCUGCUUAGCCUUGCAAAGCAAAUACAAAUAUUCAAACAAACAUCUCUCCAAAAGGCACCUCUCCACUUUCCGCUAACUAACCGUCUGUGCUAUGUCUUUACCUAGAGCCCCGUGCUUGGGAUGGGAACAGACGUGUUCCUGCGCAGCCCUAUUAUUUUCUUGUCAGAAGCCUGAUUAGAGUGAUGGAGAGGUUUAUAAUGUGUCCUGUUUUCCCCUGUAAAAAACACAUUUCUCCUAAAGCCAUUUAAUAUUUCAUUGCCAGAAUAUCCAGUGAUAUAAAAAUUCUGAAACCCUUUAUUUUCUGUUGUAUAGGUAAGAAAAAGAAAACAUCAAUUUACAGUUUACAUGUAAAUCCCACAGAUAGCACUUAAAAUCAAGUAGUAGAUAACAUAACCUGGCAGCCAUCAUAAUGCUCAGCAUUUUAUAAUUCAAAAAACAUAACAAUCAGGUUAAACAAAUAGUAUUUUUUAUUAAAUGUCACUCAAUCCCAGGGCUGAGAAUUCAUUUGUGUUUUCCUCCUAGACUCAAUCACCACAAUUGCAAUCAAAAGACGGCUUUAGUUGGAACCUGGAACGUGCUAAUCCUGUCAGGCAGCCUGUGAUUCUGGAAGUGAAGGAACAAAAAAAAAAAAAAAAAGGGAAAAUUUCACAUAAAAUUUCCAUAUGAGGAAGAAGAUGGAAACUUUUGUGUUGUGCGUUCAGUAAAACGGGCACUUUCUUAAGCAGGUGGCAAAGAAAGCCUGAGAAUCCGGCCUGACUUUUUCAUUUCAGAACCCUGCAUUUCCCACACAGAGGAGAUAGAGCACAGCCAUUGCAUGGUAGAUCCAGCUUGCUCUCACAGCCAUUGUGCAAAUAAACAUACAUGUGGCAAGGCAGUGCAGUUUUCAGUUGUUAAAAGUUCUGUCAUGCCACGAGAUGGAGCAAAGGAUAAACGCUGAUGUAAACAGGCAACAGGACUCUGACUCCACACCCCUGUCUGCACGGAGGAUGCUCAGUCCUUACACAACAAAAUGUGAGAUGCUUCCAGUCACCUCCUGGCCCUGACCCCUGAGCUCCGUGCUCACCCCACUGGAGGUCCUGGCAGUUCUCCGAGCAGGCUGUACCUGUCUGGGGUGAUCCUCUCCACUUAAUGUUAGACAUUAAGUUCCCUGUGAAAUCUGUUUUGACUCACUGAGGUUAUGAAUAUUUUAUCACAACUAUCAUCAUAUACUACCAAAUCUCCAAUUUUCUUAUCUCCAUUACUAGACUGUGAGCUCCCUGGAGGCUGGACCUGGGUUUGGCACCGAGUGGCACUCAUACAUACUUCUUGAAUAAGAGAAUUGGUGGCUUUAAAACAUGUCUACAAAUGCCUUGACCGUCUUUCCAGUGGGAGGCAGAGUCUAACUCCCUGUCCCCCGAAUGUGGGCUGGCCUUUGGGAAGAAAAGAAUAAGGUUGAAGUGAUGCUGCCCAACUUCUAAACCCAGUUCCUAAAAGGUACCUUUGGCCUUUCUCUCUCGCUCACUCUCUGUCUCGCUCUUUUGGGAUGCUUGCUCUGUGGGACUGGCCAUUCUAGUGUGAAGAGGCCCAAGUCAUCUGGAAUAACCAAGUGUAAUAUUAAAAUUGUGCUUAAGCAUAAUAUGAAUGCAGAGUGAUUAGUCCUGGGAAUGGAGUAGAGGCUACGUGUUACUUUCCUGGGUAAAACAACAAAAACUUCUGUGUCUCUGUCUUUUUCUAUAGCAAAUGAGGGUUGGGGAUGGGGCCUGUAUGGAUGGUGCAGGUGGUGUCUUCAUCCUGAGGCUUUCUUAUAAGACUAACAAACACUUGUACAAGUCCUUGCUUUCUUGUUCCUUGUUUUUUUUUUUUUUUUUUUUUUUUUUCUUUCUUCCUGAGACUGAGCCUUGCUCUGUCAUCCAGGCUGGAGUGCAGUGAUGCGGUGACGUGAUCUCAGCUCACUGCAACAUCUGCCUCCCUGCUUCAAGCGAUUCUCCUGCCUCAGCCUCCCGAGUAGCUGGGAUUACAGGCACGUACCACCAUGCCUGGCUAAUUUUUGAUUCUUAGUAAAAAAGGAAUUUCACCAUGUUGGCCAGGCUGGUCUCGAACUCCUGACUUCAGGUGAUCCACCCGCCUCAGCCUCCCAAAGUGCGGGGAUUACAUGUGUGACCACAAGGUCAUUUCCUUGUUCCUUAAUUAUUAAAUUUUCAAAGGCAAUAUAUUGAAAUAUAUGGGAAUGUAGGAAAAUAAAAAAUGUAGUCAGAAUAAAAACUCUACAGCCUUACUUCCUGCUGACAUCAUCUGGCCACAACUUUGCUCAAAAAAUUCUGGGUACGUUAAGCCGUUGUGGCAAUUGAUUUUCAUCACAGAUGAAUUUUGUUUUUUGUAUUUUACUUCCAUUUUUAAGUCUAAAUAGAAGAUGAAUUAUAUGUUAUGUAGGGUUUUUCAUCUUUUGGUACCUCUGUGUCAAGGAUAAAUAUAAAUUGAAGAAUUGGAAUGACUUUCCCACUGCCAGGAAUGGAAUGCAUUAACAUUUAAAAUUCACUAAUUCUAUUGAUCUUCUAAGGGAAAAAAUUGUUUAAGUUGUUCCUAAAUCUAUCUCUGACUUGUAGGCCCGUGAGAAGCAAAACCACAGCAGGAAGGAAGAAUGUGAUACUCACUAUGUUUAGAAGGGAAGGAGUGGGAAGAGUCCAGUUUCCUUGUAUUUUAUUCCAAAUUCUUUGUUUUUCUGUGCUGUUUCUUUUUUCUUUGCUGAGAAAUUGAUUAUUCUAAAUUCCCCCCUCACCCCAUCUUGUGCGUUACGUAUGAUCAGCAGUAAAAAGACCACACAUAAUCCAGAUGAGCUCCAGUAUUGCUUUUAAUUUCUAUGGAACUGACUGUGUAACUCUAUUAAGACUGAUGACAAAAGAACUAUUUUUGGUGCCUCUUAGAAAGAAACACACUGGAGCCUGUUAUUUUCAGUAACCCUGCUGUUCAGAGAGAAAAGCACCAACAAAGCUACUUUUUUUUUUUUUUUAUCAAAUAUCACUAAAUUCUCCUGCCUCUGUGGGUUUAUCCUUUAGUCUAUACAUUUGACCAAAAGUGCAACACAUCAAGGCUGAACAAGCUCUGCUGGUUGCCUGAUUCCAAAAAAAGGAAUCAAGGAUGUAUUGCACUUUUGUUACCCACAGAUUAUGAGUCUUGAAAACUUUCUUUUUUCUCAUCAAAUGUUUAACAAGGAUGUCGUUUUAGGAUCUUAUCAUGGGAAGUGGUCUGGAAAUGUGAUCUUUAUUCUUCUCAAUCUCUGCUUCCACAAACACAAAACCACUUUGGCCGAUUCAAAUUAAGGUUUGACUGACUUCACCAAGAAACCUGGAAAAAACCUAUGAUGCCAGAAUGUUAAGAUUUCCCUUAAACCAUUCUGUGUAUUCGCAACUCAAUGGUGUGCAUUUAGUAACAACAGCAGGCUCAGCCUGUUCAGUCAUUAAUAAUCACUGUGUGGAAAAGAGUCCAUGGGCUAGUAAUCUAGCAAGAAAAAAUGAAGUCGAGGGAGCUUGAGUCAUCAAUGAGAGUGGAGUGAACUUAUAUUAAAUCUCUAGCACUACUCUACAGGAUAAAUGUGAGAAGCACAAUGGAGGUAUAAUUAAGAUAAUUUGGAGAAUAUUUAUGUCAGUUCUGAGAACAGA
rnacentral:lncRNA from 1 species